UCUAUGGUAUAAAAAAGCUGCGCAACGACGUCUACCGAUCUGACAGUUGUCGGUACGCAUGUACAGAAUAGCAUCCCAGAUCCAAGCUGACUCUUGGGAAAUCUUAGCAACGCCAUCCGAAUUCACACACUGCCCUCAUAGAACUAUGGAUAAAUGUCUGAAAUGUGAAACACCUAGUAUCCAUGUCAUUCCUGAAGAAUCGCCGAGAAAGAGAAUAAAGGUUCCAUUCACUUCCUGGGAUCCUACAAUUGGCAUUGAGAGACAGUCUCCUCUUCUUACUGAGACUGCAACUGUAGAUCCACAUAGACUGUCAGAGGAAGAACUAGAAGAUCUCAUACAAUUUCUGAAGACUGUUUUAUGCAAUGUAGUAACUACCAGAACUAGGACAAAACUAUGACCAGACCCAGAGUUACAAUACAUAGCUACAAAAGCAGCAAGGAGAACUGAUGAUGAGGACUACAGAGACAAGCUGAUCUCGAUGAUGUCAGAGUAGGAGCUAACUGAUGCUAAGGCUAAGACUUAUUUCGAGACUCUUGCAACCGAUAUAACCAAUGCUGAUCAUAGAGUUGAACUUCUUGUUGAAAAGCACACAUGUUUAAGAGAAGACCAGCAAGCCGACCCAACUAUGAAGCGAACAGUGCAAAGUACUUUGCAGUGUAAGGUGCAUACAAUACAGUUCUAUGUUUGAAAUAGGCACAUUGGAUUAGUUAUAAAAUAUAAUCUAAUUUUUUAUACAACUUUUGACUCAGCAAAGUCCUUAGUAUGUGCAAUAAUGCUUAAAAUAUUUGUGUUUACGUUUGUAUGUUGGUGAUAUUGUAAUGGUACAAAUCCCGGUGGUAUUAUAUGAGCAAGUGCAAAGAUGUAUAUGAAUAAAUGUUUAUAUAAACAAUA